UCUCCCCGUUCCGUUGAAAAAAUAUAGUUGGGGUACGCCAAAAAAAAAAAAAAAAAUAGUGGAGGAGCUCUGUCCUGCGCACCUCCCCACAAUUCGAGCACUGGUUAAAGUAUUAUAUUAUAACCUUUAAUAAGUUGUUUUUUCUAUUAUUGAAAACUUGCUUAUAAUAUCAAUUUGAAUGCAAACGAUUACAGAGACGUCCGGUGGCCGCGUCCACGUAGUCAUCACCAAUUUCAAACAUGGAUAUGAUGGAAAUGAUGGGAUGUAUCUCUGACGUGUCGAUACUUAUGUAGAUAUCGUAUAGAACGUAGUACGUUUGAGACCCUUGUAAGUGUUUUGCCGUGUAGAAAAUGCACUUAACUGUUAAACAUUUAGUCAACAUCAUGUGAUAUACGAAUUACUUCGAGAAAUUGGCACGUACAUGCGCAUACAUAUAUGCACACGUGGUGUAUUUACGUAACAGUAGUAUGUACAUCUAGAACGCUAAAAUAAUUGAAUGGAUCAACCAUCCCGAGACAAGCGCAGACUAUCUUUAAUUUCGAGUUACUACUGUACAACCUUUGACAUGCUGAUUAAAUAUUUGAUGGUCGUUAGCAAAGUGAAUAGUCGACUUUUAUCUCGAAAGCUUACGUCUUCUGCUGCUGCUACUGCUCAUCAAACAACGAACGGAUCUCAGCCAUUUCAAUGAUUGCUUUUUGUGUUUUAUUAGACUUAAAAGCUUUCACACGAAAUCAAACUGAACAAAUGAUCACGGAUACGGGUCACUUAUUCGACUUGUAUGUUGAACUAACAAGAUAGAUUUUUUCG